rnacentral:tRNA from 1 species
UCCAGCGUAGCUCAGUUGGUAGAGCGGUCGGCUGUUAACCGACUUGUCCGUGGUUCGAGUCCACGCGCUGGAG